rnacentral:rRNA from 2 species
GAGUUUGAUCGUGGCUCAGAUUGAACGCUGGCGGCAUGCCUUACACAUGCAAGUCGAACGGCAGCACGGGAGCUUGCUCCUGGUGGCGAGUGGCGAACGGGUGAGUAAUGCAUCGGAACGUAUCCUGGAGUGGGGGAUAACGUAGCGAAAGUUACGCUAAUACCGCAUAUUCUGUGAGCAGGAAAGCGGGGGACCUUCGGGCCUCGCGCUCUUGGAGCGGCCGAUGUCGGAUUAGCUAGUUGGUGAGGUAAAGGCUCACCAAGGCGACGAUCCGUAGCAGGUCUGAGAGGAUGAUCUGCCACACUGGAACUGAGACACGGUCCAGACUCCUACGGGAGGCAGCAGUGGGAAUUUUGGACAAUGGGGCAACCCUGAUCCAGCCAUGCCGCGUGAGUGAAGAAGGCCUCGG